AUGGGCAGCUUUAUGUGGGCCUCUGGGAUCUGGGAGUCUGAGGGGAGCCAACCAAGGGAAGGCCUGACAAAAGAUGCGGGGGCGGGGGGAGCAAGGCACAUGCAAAGGCCCUGGGGUCAGAGGAGCUGGUGUGACGGAAGCUUAGAGAAAACACCGAGGCCGCGGUUGGAGGGGAGUCAGACAGGCGGGCAGAACGGGGUCGUGCAGGGCCCGGCACCCGCACCCAACAGCCCGAUUGCAUCCUUAGCUCGGCCAGUCACGGGCUCCCAGAGGGCACAGCUCCCGUCGUCCCCGCGGCUUUGCUCCUGCCACCCCCCCCCACCCCAGGGACGUCUUCUCUGCCCCCUGGAAUCCUACUUGUCCGAGAUGUGCCCUGUCCCACGGAGGAUCCCAGAGCUGUCCUUAAACAGCCAAAGAGCCCACCGAGCACGGGCUCCGCUCCGACCGUCGCUCCGACCGCCGGGACCUGUGUCCUCCGAGCAAGGUGCCCGGAGCCGCGGGGACCCUCGCUCUCACCUCUCCGGCUGCUGUCCUUGGAGAGACAGAGACCCAUCUCCUCCUCCUCCGUGGGUGACCCGGCCUCUUUCCCCUGCUCCUACUUUUAGGGUCAAAACGCGGAGAGAACAGGACGGUUGGCCCUUUGGGCCAGCGGCUCACGAAGCGCCCUACGCGUGCCCCUGGGGUGCCGGGCAUCAGGACCAGGGACCCGCGCCCUGCACCGGCUCCGAAGCCCCGAGCCCAGCGCACAACCCGGCGCCGAGUCCCUGCUGGAAACCGCCCCCGUGGCUUUGGAGGGGAGCAGGUCUCCAUCAGCAGCCGGCGUCGCUGAGGGGGGUAAAACCGUGACCCUGACCUUGAGGCAGUGCCGUUGUCAACAGAGCCCCAGGGCUGUGCUCAGGGCCGCCUGUCUGGGCCGCACCAAGUUGCAAAAAAGUCUCAGGAAUAUUUACAGUUGGUCUUUAAACGGCAGUGGGUAUGAAUAAAAGAGCAAUAUCUCACAUCAUUAGUCCAUAAAUAUGCAGUUUAGUUUUAUUUGUCAAAUAAAAUAACCUGAGAUUGAGCUGCCUGGUUGAAAGACACAGACAUACAUACACCUGUCUCCUUGCGCUGCCUGCUUCCCCGACUGCACGUCUGCCGCCCUUCGGGAAUGUUCUUUGCCCGAUAUGUCCCCCGCCCCCGCCCCCCGUCUGGCGUUCCCGGGGAGGGUCGCUCAGGCAGGUUUCCUGCCCCAGCCUCUUGAGGGGAGCAGCUGAAUGCCCAGGCCCUUACGGUGGCCGCGGGCUCAGGCUCUGCAGGGGAGGGACAGUUGGAGUCCCCUCGCCCAUUUUCUUUAUUUAAGGGUGACUCAUUUCCAUUCUAUAAAAG
rnacentral:lncRNA from 1 species